rnacentral:lncRNA from 1 species
CUGUCCGCGGCUAUUGAAGGAUGAAUACAUCUGGACGGGGAAUAUCAUCACUUUUUGCAUUUCUUCAUUACUUCGGACUAAGAAUUUCCUUUUUCUUGAUUAUCUGGAUUUUUCUCUCCGAUAAGACGAUUUUUCUCUCCGAUAAUACAAUUUUUCUUUGAUAUAAUUUUUCUAUCAAGUUUUUAUAAAUUGGAUUUCUUCGAUAUAAUUUGGUUUUUGGCACAACAUUUCAUAUAUAUUUGACUCUUCUAAAAUUUUACAAUUUCUAUCAGUUGAGCAUGCUACCGUGUGAGACUGAUGAAUGUGUCUUGUGGGAGCUACUGUUUAAUAAACUAUUCAAUCUACUAAACAUAAAUUGAGUUAAAAGUUGAAUGUUGAUGCCAUGUGUAGGAAUGAGAAAUGGUAUGUAAAAUACUUUUUGGAUGAUAACACUGCAUUCGGGAGAAUGUGUUGCUUUAUUGAAUGGUCUAAAAUUUGCUGUGGAUCAGUUUUUAGCCAUUGAUGAACUGGAAAUUGAUUGUAGCUAAUGUUAAAGUUCGUCAUCUGGGUGGCAAGAAUUGUACAACAAAUGGCAUUCUUCCUGAGUAUUCAGUAUUUAUGUUGUGAAGUUAGUGAAGCUGUCCAUAGCUAAACAAGCAUGUGUACAGGCUUGUCAUUUCCUUGUACAUAUUUUAUCUUCAGAUGUUAUGAGUUAGACCCCUGUUUAGCGGAGAGAUUGUAUUAGAUUUUUAGCAUAUUUUAAUAAAAAGUUGAUGGAAUGUGUAGUUGAAAAA